AUACCAUCAAGAGAGAUUGAGGGACUGGCCCGUUGAAAUCUCAGCAACCUGCUUUUUAAGUGUGGUGCUAACUCCUGAGAGAUGGAAU
rnacentral:ncRNA from 23 species